AGGUGAAACUGCGGAAGGAUCAUUG
rnacentral:rRNA from 1 species